AGAAUCAACGCUGGCGGCGUGCCUAACACAUGCAAGUCGAACGAGAAAGGGUAGCAAUACCUGAGUAAAGUGGCGCACGGGUGAGUAACACGUGACUAACCUACCCUGGAGUGGGGGAUAACUGAGGGAAACCUUAGCUAAUACCGCAUAACACCUACGGGUCAAAGGAGCAAUUCGCUUCAGGAGGGGGUCGCGGCCGAUUAGUUAGUUGGCGGGGUAAUGGCCCACCAAGACAGUGAUCGGUAUCCGGCCUGAGAGGGCGCACGGACACACUGGAACUGAAACACGGUCCAGACUCCUACGGGAGGCAGCAGUGGGGAAUUUUGCGCAAUGGGGAAACCCUGACGCAGCAACGCCGCGUGGAGGAUGAAGUCCUCGGGACGUAAACUCCUUUCGAUCGGGACGAUAAUGACGGUACCGGAAGAAGAAGCCCCGGCUAACUUCGUGCCAGCAGCCGC
rnacentral:rRNA from 1 species